rnacentral:rRNA from 1 species
GAUGAACGCUGGCGGCGUGCCUAAUACAUGCAAGUCGAGCGAACGGACGAGAAGCUUGCUUCUCUGAUGUUAGCGGCGGACGGGUGAGUAACACGUGGAUAACCUACCUAUAAGACUGGGAUAACUUCGGGAAACCGGAGCUAAUACCGGAUAAUAUUUUGAACCGCAUGGUUCAAAAGUGAAAGACGGUCUUGCUGUCACUUAUAGAUGGAUCCGCGCUGCAUUAGCUAGUUGGUAAGGUAACGGCUUACCAAGGCAACGAUGCAUAGCCGACCUGAGAGGGUGAUCGGCCACACUGGAACUGAGACACGGUCCAGACUCCUACGGGAGGCAGCAGUAGGGAAUCUUCCGCAAUGGGCGAAAGCCUGACGGAGCAACGCCGCGUGAGUGAUGAAGGUCUUCGGAUCGUAAAACUCUGUUAUUAGGGAAGAACAUAUGUGUAAGUAACUGUGCACAUCUUGACGGUACCUAAUCAGAAAGCCACGGCUAACUACGUGCCAGCAGCCGCGGUAAUACGUAGGUGGCAAGCGUUAUCCGGAAUUAUUGGGCGUAAAGCGCGCGUAGGCGGUUUUUUAAGUCUGAUGUGAAAGCCCACGGCUCAACCGUGGAGGGUCAUUGGAAACUGGAAAACUUGUGUGCAGAAGAGGAAAGUGGAAUUCCAUGUGUAGCGGUGAAAUGCGCAGAGAUAUGGAGGAACACCAGUGGCGAAGGCGGCUUUCUGGUCUGUAACUGACGCUGAUGUGCGAAAGCGUGGGGAUCAAACAGGAUUAGAUACCCUGGUAGUCCACGCCGUAAACGAUGAGUGCUAAGUGUUAGGGGGUUUCCGCCCCUUAGUGCUGCAGCUAACGCAUUAAGCACUCCGCCUGGGGAGUACGACCGCAAGGUUGAAACUCAAAGGAAUUGACGGGGACCCGCACAAGCGGUGGAGCAUGUGGUUUAAUUCGAAGCAACGCGAAGAACCUUACCAAAUCUUGACAUCCUUUGACAGCUCUAGAGAUAGAGCUUUCCCCUUCGGGGGACAAAGUGACAGGUGGUGCAUGGUUGUCGUCAGCUCGUGUCGUGAGAUGUUGGGUUAAGUCCCGCAACGAGCGCAACCCUUAAGCUUAGUUGCCAUCAUUAAGUUGGGCACUCUAAGUUGACUGCCGGUGACAAACCGGAGGAAGGUGGGGAUGACGUCAAAUCAUCAUGCCCCUUAUGAUUUGGGCUACACACGUGCUACAAUGGACAAUACAAAGGGCAGCGAAACCGUGAGGUCAAGCAAAUCCCAUAAAGUUGUUCUCAGUUCGGAUUGUAGUCUGCAACUCGACUACAUGAAGCUGGAAUCGCUAGUAAUCGUAGAUCAGCAUGCUACGGUGAAUACGUUCCCGGGUCU